rnacentral:rRNA from 1 species
UAGGGAAUCUUCGGCAAUGGACGAAAGUCUGACCGAGCAACGCCGCGUGAGUGAAGAAGGUUUUCGGAUCGUAAAACUCUGUUGUUAGAGAAGAACAAGGACGUUAGUAACUGAACGUCCCCUGACGGUAUCUAACCAGAAAGCCACGGCUAACUACGUGCCAGCAGCCGCGGUAAUACGUAGGUGGCAAGCGUUGUCCGGAUUUAUUGGGCGUAAAGCGAGCGCAGGCGGAUGUGCGCGUGGGGUGUGAAAUCUGGCCGCUUAACGGCCAGGCGCCAUCCCAUACGGCACAACUGGAGGGCUGCAGAGGUCGAUGGAAUUGCCGGUGUAGUGGUGAAAUGCGUAGAGAUCGGCAGGAACACCCAGGGGGAAACCAGUCGACUGGGCAGCACCUGACGCUGAGGUGCGAGAGCGUGGGGAGCGAACCGG